AUCAACUAUAAUUGAAAAUAUCCAAUGAACCAAGUCCAGGAAUCUCGCCAAGUGAUGGAUGUUCACAAUCCUCAUUCAUUAAGCUCAAAGGCGAACCCUCUUCCCGCUCCCUAACAUCCCAGUCCGAGUCAGGAACGAGGUUAUUCUUUGAAGCUGUUUCUGCAUCAUCGUACAUUUCACUGGUAUGAGGGGAAUGUUAAAUUCACUUGAACUGCAACUCUUGCCAUUGAUUAUAUAGUAAAUUCUUCUGAAAGGAUCUCUUCUAAGUAAGUCACACACAAGGUCCUUGAGGAACGCGGUAGGAAAAAAGAACGACCAUGAGAGAGAUUAUAAGAUAUGUAACGGCGAAUGGCUGUUUUGUAUUCUUCAAAAAUUUUCUGAACACCAAGAACCGAAAAAAAAAGAAGAAGCACAAUUAAGGAACUUGGACAGCGAAGAUAAUAUAUCCAAAAGCUAAUAAGACAUGUUUUUAAUGACACCCACCAGAGCAUACUGCUAUCUCAACCAGCAUACACCUAGUAAGAACAAUAUUUGCAAAUUCAUGAACAAUUCAAGGAGUACGGGCGACCAUAAUCUAGAAAUAAGAUUAUGGCAGGAACGUAGGCUGCGAAAAAACUGGUAGGGCGCUCAAACAUGCAAAAAAUUAUCCUUUGUAACUUUUCUUCAAAAGUCAACUCUCCCUCUGUUCUAAGUCUGAAACCAAACCAGGGAUUAAGAAGCAACCCCUUGAACAUAGCAUCAAGAACAGAACAAUUUGUCACGUUUGCAGAAAUCAGUAUUACCAACAAAAAUUUGAUUCGCUCUAUUUUAAGUCUGAUUCUCAUGCACAGUGAAUUGGCUGAGAGCUUUACUGAAUUUGCUGUUCUCUUUGCUUCAUGCAUUGCAACUUCAACGCUGAACCAGCGGAUAAAAGUAGUGACAAUCGAUCACAUAAAUAUGGAUCUCCGAUGCAUUUAUACGGGGUUAUUAUUUCAAUAAUCUACCAAUAGGCCUCUGUGAAGCUCAAACUAAAAUGUUAGUCAAGAAUGGAGGUGACAAGCGAGUAGUGAUAGAUCAGUUAAUGAUGGAGAUGUUCUGGUGAAUGGAGGGACGCGGUUGUCCAAGGAUUGAUGGAUGAAUAUGUGGCUUGUAUUUCCAGUGAAGUUAAUGGAUAUUUGAGGGUUAAUCUUGUCGGCUCUUGCCGUUGUAGGUGCAAUCUUGAGUUGCAUACUUUCAAUCGCACAGAGAACGCACUUCACUAGCCUAAGCAAAAAAUAAAGUGAACAUGAACAUGCAUUCUAAAGCUAGUAAGAAGUACCAAAAGUAAAAGGGCACCACCUCACUCAAUUUGGAUCCUCUGCAUUUUGUGGCAAUUGUGAUAUG